CUAUUUCUUACAGUCGAGGUGAAAGCUGUGUGUCACUGCUUAAUUAGCAAUGUUGUCCCCACCUGUUACCUUAACUAGCACAUCUGUUAAAAAUGGUACCAUGAGGUACGUGUCCUAGAAUUUGGUUUUUAAAUUCAGCGCGAGGUUUUGUGUGUGGUAAAUAUGACUCUGGUUCCUUCGUCCUCGGUGCUGUGCUGUUCUCUCCUAUCACGCGGCUAUUCUAGGAGUUGAUGUUUGGCGUUUCACAGUUAGGAACAGUCUUGUACUCCUCUUACCUCUUCAGGACAGGUGUGAGCUUUCCUUGUUGGAUGCUUUGAGGUGGCUUGCUCCAUCUGCAGUCCCAUGAGACAACGUCACGUUGUGCUCGGGUGGUUCUCAGCGUUUCUAGUCGACCAGCAGAACACGAGUUCUCUCUGCUGCUCCACAACCUCGUCGGACUUCUCUCUGUUAGAAUUUCGUGUGAUAUCGGUCUCGGGAGAGUACAGGCAAAUCGUCUUUUAUAGGACAGGAAUGAGAAGAUGAUAAAAUUUAUGCUGUUUUAAUUCAGAUUUUGAAUCUCCCUAGGAUAGCUUUUAAGAAAUCUUUUUUUUUUUUUUUUUAACUGCCAAAAGCAGGUUAUGCCCCUUGCAUUUUCUGUCUUAGAAAUCAGGUGGUGGAAGGAUAAUCUCUUUUUGACCAGCAGUUGCUUGUGUUGUAUGUUUUUCGUUAUAAUAAAGCAUCCUCUGAAAGCCUUUAUGAUUUUGCUUUUUAUAAAAGAUUUAUUUAUUUGGGGGGGAGGGGCAGAGGGAGAAGGGAGAAAGCAUUCCAAGCGGACUCCAUGCUGAGUGCGUGGAGCCCGACACGGGGCUCCAUCCCAUGACCCCGAGAUCAUGACCUGAGCCAAAACCAGCAGUUGGACGCUUAGCUGACUGCACCAUCCAGGCGCCUCUGUAAUUUUCCUUUGAGUACACAGUAUCAGACUAUGCACGUUCUCAGAUUUUUUCAGAGCUUUGUUGCCAUGCAGUAUACUUGCGUGGUCUUAAAGUGCGUAAUCUCAUAAGUUUGGACACGUAUACGUCCGUGAAACCAUUACCACGGUGAAGCUAGUAAACGUUUUGGUUAGUUAACUGUUGUCUGAUUUGUGAUCAUGGCAUUAGGGAUUUUGGAUCUUCUGUUAGGAUUUCGUGUGUGUUUAGGGAACCACUCUGCCGGUGACUUGACUCUCGGGGAUGUGGCAGUAGAUGGGUCCCAGGCCUCGACGGUGCUUACAAGUCCCGUGGAUGGGUCUUGAUGCGUUGAGCGCACCCCGCCUGGUCUCACAGUCUGCGCUUGUGUGUGUCUCAUUUCAGGUACACGUUCCUGGAAUACGCAUCUCCUGCCCAUGCCUUGGACGCCGUGAAGAAUGCUGAUGGCUACAAGCUGGACAAGCAGCACACCUUCAGGGUCAACCUCUUCACGGACUUUGACAAGUAUAUGACUAUCAGUGAUGAGUGGCAUAUUCCAGAGAAACAACCUUUCAAAGACUUGGGAAAUUUACGUUACUGGCUUGAGGAGGCAGAAUGCAGAGAUCAGUACAGUGUCAUUUUUGAGAGUGGAGACCAUAC